rnacentral:rRNA from 1 species
CUCCAGACUCCUACGGGAGGCAGCAGUGGGGAAUAUUGGGCAAUGGACGCAAGUCUGACCCAGCAACGCCGCGUGAAGGAAGAAGGCUUUCGGGUUGUAAACUUCUUUUAAGGGGGAAGAGCAGAAGACGGUACCCCUUGAAUAAGCCACGGCUAACUACGUGCCAGCAGCCGCGGUAAUACGUAGGUGGCAAGCGUUGUCCGGAUUUACUGGGUGUAAAGGGCGUGCAGCCGGGCCGACAAGUCAGAUGUGAAAUCCGCGGGCUUAACCCGCGAACUGCAUUUGAAACUAUUGGUCUUGAGUACCGGAGAGGUCAUCGGAAUUCCUUGUGUAGCGGUGAAAUGCGUAGAUAUCUGGAGGAACAUCAGUGGCGAAGGCGACUAUCUGGCACAUAACUGACGCUGAGGAGCGAAAGCGUGGGUAGCAAACAGGAUUAGAUACCCCGGUA